rnacentral:rRNA from 1 species
AUCGUGGCGGGAGACAGUGUCAGGUAGGCAGUUUGACUGGGGCGGUCGCCUCCUAAAAUGUAACGGAGGCGCCCAAAGGUUCCCUCAGAAUGGUUGGAAAUCAUUCGCAGAGUGUAAAGGUAGAAGGGAGCUUGACUGCGAGACUGACAAGUCGAGCAGGGACGAAAGUCGGGCUUAGUGAUCCGGUGGUUCCGUAUGGAAGGGCCAUCGCUCAACGGAUAAAAGCUACCCUGGGGAUAACAGGCUUAUCUCCCCCAAGAGUCCACAUCGACGGGGAGGUUUGGCACCUCGAUGUCGGCUCAUCGCAUCCUGGGGCUGUAGUCGGUCCCAAGGGUUGGGCUGUUCGCCCAUUAAAGCGGUACGCGAGCUGGGUUCAGAACGUCGUGAGACAGUUCGGUCCCUAUCCGUCGCGGGCG